rnacentral:rRNA from 1 species
UACGUAGGGUGCGAGCGUUAAUCGGAAUUACUGGGCGUAAAGCGUGCGCAGGCGGUUCUCCAAGUCCGUUGUGAAAGCCCCGGGCUCAACCUGGGAAUGGCAGUGGAAACUAGGGGACUGGAAUCUGGCAGAGGGGGGGGUGGAAUGCCGCGUGUAGCAGUGAAAUGCGUAGAGAUGCGGCGGAACACCGAUGGCGAAGGCAGCCCCCUGGGCUGAGAUUGACGCUCAGGCACGAAAGCGUGGGGAGCAAACAGG